rnacentral:rRNA from 1 species
UUUAACGGAGAGUUUGAUCCUGGCUCAGGACGAACGCUGGCGGCGUGCCUAAUACAUGCAAGUCGAGCGGACUCUCAGGAGUGCUUGCACUCCUGAGAGUUAGCGGCGGACGGGUGAGUAACACGUAGGUAACCUGCCCAUAAGACUGGGAUAACCCACGGAAACGUGAGCUAAUACCAGAUAGGCAUUUUCCUCGCAUGAGGGAGAUGAGAAAGGCGGAGCAAUCUGCCACUUAUGGAUGGACCUGCGGCGCAUUAGCUAGUUGGUAG